ACGAAAGGGGCGAAAAACUAGUACUCUUGGAAAGGAUUUGGCGAAAUUCCUAUUACCUCCAAACCCGUGAAUUCCAGCUGAUUUUUCUCCCUUCCAGCUUGAUAUUUUAGCGGAUCAGGAUUUAGGUUGCUCUCGGUUCUAUGGACUUCAUUGAUGAUUUAGCAUCUCGAAGUUUGGGUUCUUACCAAUUUCAGUGUCGAAGAUAUUAUUAUAGAUAGCAGGGUUUGUGUUCGACUAUAAUCUGGCUGAACUCAUAAGCUCAUAUUUGUAGUGAUGGAGGAUAUAGGGUUGUCUAGACAAGCUUGGAAAACACAUUUAUUCUCGAUCGCAAACUGCAAUCGGUGGGUGUGGAGAUAAAAUCGGGAUGUUUGUAGAGCGGCAUUAGCCGAUGGUGUGCAGUGGGUGCACCAGGACAGGGAGGCUGUUGAUCCUGUUGUUGAUUUAUUGGCGGGACUACGUCGUAAGAGGUUUUCGAUCCUUUAUCGGGUCGGGUUCUGCGGCUUUGCUCCUUACAAUGUGGAGUUGCUUUCUCAGUUUGACUUCAAUUUCUUGCCUGGUUUAUGUACUUCUUAGUAUGGAAACAGGAUCUGAGACAAAUUUGAAGAAACUUUGAAAGGAAUAUGGGUUAAGUGUUUAUGUUUUUGCAAUUCUGAUUUCAGAUUUCUUUUAUUAUAAUCUGAAUAUGUAGUUUAACAUUUUUGAGGUCAUUGAUUUUUUGGGUGCAAUACAUCUUAAUUCUAAGAAGAGGAGAUUUGACUCUGUAAGUGCAGGUCUCGGAUUGCUCCGCUCUCUCAGUAGGCUAUCAGAGCAGGGGCUGUCAAUACUGGGUUCUAUGCGGAGAUCUCAAAGUUCAUAGAUUCGAAGAAAGAAAGGUUCUCAAAUAAAGAAUUACUUGGCUUGAAGCUGCUGAUGAGGAUCUUCGUCGGGAACUUCAUGAAUACCACAGAUGGUAGCCCCUGCUUUGUCAAAAGCAAUGGCCUAAAAAGGAGUUUGUUAAGUUUAGAAUUGGCUGGCUAUCAAAUGGGUGAAGCGAUAACAGCAGGUGAUUCCCAGGAAAUUGAUGAAGUAGCAAAGGAGUGGGAGCACAACCUUCUGCAAAAUAUGAUGGACAGAGUUGCAUGAAUUGAAUAAACGUCUACAACAAAAAGAGUCGGAGAUGAAAUUUUUUUAAGGGUCCGACACUGUGGCACUCGAGCAGCAUUUUUGAAAGAAAAUUUUGGAACUAGAAGAUGAGAAAAGAACUGUGCAGGUUCACUUAAAACCUUAAUAUUUGAUGUUCUUAUUCUUGAGAGAACUGAUAUUCACUUAAAACCUUUAUAAUUUUAGUUGGGGAUAGAACAUGUAAAAUUCUAGUUGUUUUUAUAUAUAAUGGUUGUGAAUAUCUUUGUAAAUCUCUAUUAAUUAAUGAAACCGUCUUUGUCAACCAAAA